rnacentral:rRNA from 1 species
GACGAACGCUGGCGGCGUGCUUAACACAUGCAAGUCGAACGGAAAGGCCCUGCUUUUGUGGGGUGCUCGAGUGGCGAACGGGUGAGUAGCACGUGAGUAACCUGCCCUUGACUUUGGGAUAACUUCAGGAAACUGGUGCUAAUACCGGAUAGGAGCUCCUGCUGCAUGGUGGGGGUUGGAAAGUUUCGGCGGUUGGGGAUGGACUCGCGGCUUUUCAGCUUGUUGGUGGGGUAGUGGCUUACCAAGGCUUUGACGGGUAGCCGGCCUGAGAGGGUAAACAGUAACAUUAGGACUAAGAGAGGGCCCAGACUGCAACGGGAGGGAGCAGUGGGGAAUAUUGCAGAAUGGGCGGAAGCCAGAUGAAGAAACACCACGUGCGGGAUGAAGGCCUUCGGGUUGUAAACGGCUUUCGACUGUGACGAAGCGUGAGUGACGGUAAUGGGUAAAGAAGCACCGGCUAACUACGUG